rnacentral:rRNA from 1 species
AUGGGAACGCGAAGAACCUUACCUAGACUUGACAUCUCCUGAAUAGUGUAGAGAUACAUGAAGCCCUUCGGGGCAGGAAGACAGGUGGUGCAUGGUUGUCGUCAGCUCGUGUCGUGAGAUGUUGGGUUAAGUCCCGCAACGAGCGCAACCCUUAUUACUAGUUGCUACCAUUAAGUUGAGCACUCUAGUGAGACUGCCCGGGCUAACCGGGAGGAAGGCGGGGAUGACGUCAAAUCAUCAUGCCCCUUAUGUCUAGGGCAACACACGUGCUACAAUGGUGAGUACAGAUAGAUGCGAUACCGCAAGGUGGAGCCAAACUCUAAAACUCAUCCCAGUUCGGAUUGUAGGCUGCAACUCGCCUACAUGAAGUUGGAGUUGCUAGUAAUCGCGAAUCAGAAUGUCGCGGUGAAUACGUUCCCGGGUCUUGUACACACCG